rnacentral:lncRNA from 1 species
GUCUUCUUUCCUUUUCAGAAUACUUUAGGUUCCCAUGGCACAUGUCCUCCUUCAUCUGGGGCUCUCUUUUGUGCCUUUGGAUUUACCUAGUGCACAUGAGUGUACCAAGUUUGGCUGUCCUCAGGCCACAUGCAGUGGGAAUCAGAAUGCCCUAUGUAGAGCAAGAGAGAUAGGGAAACAUGCUAGGUUCUCCCUUGGUUUUCUGCUUUCAGACCACUGGGUAUGGCUUUCAGUUCUAAGAAGCCUCAGGCAAUUCAGUCCCAUUAGAUGCUGUGGUGUAGUUUGUCUUUACUUUAAAGUUAGCUUUCUUACUCUGAAUUCCUAAUCCCUUCUCUAGUUCUCUAAUGGCAAAGUCUCCUCUCAUCUUAUUUGUGUCAAAGGUGUAUCCCCCAGAUUUACACUGGCUUAGUAAGGUCCCCAGAUUCAGAAGAAGGUUCCUCACCAAGCCAAUGCUGGUCACUUCUUGUUGAAGUUCCAUUCAAAUCAGAUUGACUGUGGCUGUGGUUGAGACUAGGCUAGACUGAUCUGUAGGUCUGCCAUCUCUGUGACAGCACCAUUACCAUGUGAUGGAUAUAAGAGCAGGUCAUGCAGUGUUCUUGAAGCUGCCCUUUCUAGCAGUGAGUUGAAUAUAUUCUUACAUGGUUUUAAUUCAGCUGCGCUCAAAGUUCUGGAUAGUACCUUGCCUAGGGUUUGGGUUUCAACUUUAUAGAUCUCUAAUUCUUCUCACUGCAGUAAUAUACCAAAGGGAGAGUAGCAUUAGGACAGACAUUUAGCAGAGCAUCUGAGGAGAGCAAAGGAAGGGAUGGGAAAUAAAGCCAGGCCUGUGAGCUGGAGUGCCAUGAUGCUGGAGCAGAAGUUAGAGAAGCUGAUGAAGAGAAACUGAGGCUGGAGGAGUUUGGGACACUUGUAGCGAUUCAGCAAAACCUGGAAGGUUUCCAAGAAUGGCUUUGAAUGACAGGUGCCUUGGGUAUUUACACACAGGGCUGGCUUUUUAACUUAGUAUUCAGUACUUAUGAUACCCACCAUUCUCACCAGUCUGAAAACGUGGGGAUUUCUGAUAACAACCUGCAAAUUCUUGACUCUCCUCUUUAGCCAAGGCACAGGUACCUCAACUAGACUUAGAGGGAGUCCUGCUUGUCAUUUAUAUUUUGGCAUUCCUUCUGGUUAUAGAUACUUAACCAGUAUAAAAAAGAGUGAAUCCUGACAACUGUAGAUAGAUUUGAUUCACACUAAGAGGUGUGCAUGUUUCUGUUCGUCUGAUUCUAGGUCUGAUACCUGGAGGGAGGAUCAAGUUGGUGCACAGUACUGUAAUCCAACUGGGCCACAGUCUUUCUCAUAAAGAUGGUGAACUGUGGGGGUCCACACAGACACUGAGUGUCAAAUUCCUGCCUUCGGAUCCUAAUCACUUCGUUGUUGGCACCGACAUGGGACUUAUAAGUCACAGUACCAGGCAAGAUUGGAGAGUCUCUCCCAAGGUGUUCAAACCUCAGCAACAUGGUGUCAGACCAAUAAAAGUUAACGUGAUUGAUUUUUCACCGUUCGAAGAAACAGUAUUCUUGGCUGGCUGUUCCGAUGGAAGCAUCAG